rnacentral:snoRNA from 12 species
CAGAAUACAUGAUGAUCCACCCCAACUUGAACUCUCUUACUGAUUACUUGAUGAUGAUAAGAUCUGAUAUUCUG